rnacentral:rRNA from 1 species
UACGUAGGGGGCAAGCGUUAUCCGGAUUUAUUGGGUUUAAAGGGUGCGCAGGCGGAAUGUCAAGUCAGCGGUAAAAUUGCGGGGCUCAACCCCGGCCCGCCGUUGAAACUGGCAGUCUCGAGUUGGAGAGAAGUAUGCGGAAUGCGUGGUGUAGCGGUGAAAUGCAUAGAUAUCACGCAGAACUCCGAUUGCGAAGGCAGCAUACCGGCGCCCGACUGACGCUGAAGCACGAAAGCGUGGGUAUCGAACAGG